GGACUAACAAUGCAGUAGAAGGUUGGCAUAGAGGUUUCAGUUCAUUACUUGGUGCAUAUCAUCCAACAUUAUGGACAUUUAUCGAUGUGUUGAAAGAUCAGCAACAUUUAGAGGACAUUAAACUGGAACAGUUCAUUGCUGGUGCCAAAAAACAUCAAAAAAAAAUAUAUA
rnacentral:misc_RNA from 1 species